CACAAUGAGAAGAACUAUCUAAGCUGAUGGGAAAAAAGAGAAAAGGGACAGAGUAAACGGAGACCGUCAAAUCCCCUGGAACUGGAGUUAUACCAGCUGUGGGCCAUCUGAGGCCUCUGUACCGUGUGCAUAUAGUAUCCAUGGAAACCAGAAGAGUACAUCUCAUUCCCUG